UUCUGCCUUAUUUUUUUAAUAUUUCUCCAUAUACCAUGUUUGUUUGUUUGCAUUGCAUCACUUGGGAGCUACAGAGUUUCCUGUCUCGCUCUCCGGCAUUAUAUGCACUCUUUCUCAUUUGCUCUUUCCAUUUGCUCCCUCUCCUAUUGGACAGAGUUUAGUCAAGAAUAUUGUGGUAAGGCACAAAUAAUCAAUUUGAAAAGAUGGAGGAGAUAACCAAUGUUAUGGAAUAUGAGGAAAUUGCAAGGCGGAAAUUGCCAAAGAUGGUCUUUGACUACUAUGCAUCAGGUGCAGAAGACCAAUGGACUCUCAAGGAGAAUCGCUAUGCAUUCUCUCGAAUUUUGUUUCGACCCCGCAUUCUUAUUGAUGUGAGCAAGAUAGACACGACUACAAGUGUCUUGGGCUUCAAGAUUUCAAUGCCUAUCAUGAUUGCUCCAACAGCCAUGCAGAAAAUGGCUCACCCAGAAGGAGAGUAUGCAACAGCGAGGGCAGCUUCAGCAGCUGGAACAAUUAUGACACUAUCUUCAUGGGCUACUUCCAGUGUAGAGGAGGUUGCAUCAACAGGGCCUGGCAUUCGAUUUUUCCAGCUUUAUAUGUGCAAAGACAGGAAUGUGGUUGCUCAGCUUGUGAGAAGAGCUGAGAGGGCUGGAUUCAAGGCCAUUGCCCUUACUGUGGAUACUCCAAGACUUGGCCGGAGAGAAGCUGAUAUCAAGAAUAGAUUCACUUUGCCACCAUUUUUGACUUUGAAGAACUUUGAGGGGUUGGAUCUUGGCAAAAUGGAUAAGGCUGAUGACUCUGGACUUGCUUCGUAUGUUGCUGGCCAAAUUGACCGAACACUUAGCUGGAAGGAUGUGAAGUGGCUUCAGACAAUCACAUCAUUGCCGAUCCUGGUGAAGGGUGUGCUGACUGCAGAGGAUGCAAGGCUAGCCAUACAGAAUGGAGCUGCAGGAAUUAUUGUAUCCAAUCAUGGAGCUCGCCAGCUUGAUUAUGUUCCUGCAACUAUUAUGGCAUUGGAAGAGGUCGUCAAAGCUGCACAAGGCCGUGUUCCUGUUUUUCUUGAUGGUGGAGUUCGCCGUGGGACAGAUGUUUUCAAGGCAUUGGCACUAGGAGCAUCUGGAAUAUUUAUUGGAAGGCCUGUGGUAUUCUCAUUGGCUGCUGAAGGUGAAGCUGGUAUUAGGAAAGUACUUCAGAUGCUUCGUGAUGAGUUCGAGCUAACAAUGGCAUUAAAUGGCUGCCGCUCAUUAAGGGAGAUUACCCGUAACCACAUUGUGACUGACUGGGACCUUCCUCGCCCAGUUGCCAGGUUAUAAGGUGGCAUCACUUCCAACCGCACGUUGAAAUUGAGAAAUGAAAAGCUCGGAGAGCCUGUCUCACAUAUAUAAUACUUAGAAGAAUUUGAACCUUUGCAAUGACAAUCAAUAGUAUAUCUAUGAAUGGCCACUGCAUUUCUUGUAUAUUCUUUUUUCCAAAUCAAGGCAUACUCUUGCCAAUCAUGGAUAAUCCUUGGGAAUCACUGAUUUCAUUGUGCAUAAACCAGCCAAGAAUCACCCAUCCUUGGCUCAAAUGCGGUGUGAAUUUUGUAUGACUGCUCUCACUUCCUUCACUAUGGAGUUGCAGAUGUAGCUAAAUGCAUAUUUGGAGAUCGUGUGAUUGAGAUGGACCAAGGAGACAAUAUUGAGACAGGUAGAGGUUUCAUCAUCUGUGAUGGUAGGCGAAGAAUGCAGCUGGUUGUGUUGGUUGGCCUUUUAUUUAACAAAAAAAAUAUAUCAAAAAAAUUAUUAGAGAAAAACAAAAGCUUUCCGCAUCGUUCAUGAAAUACAGGCGCACCUUUAUAUAUAUAUAUA